CCGGAAUCAUUGGGCGUAAAGAGCGUGUAGGCGGCCCGGUAAGUCCGCUGUGAAAGUCCAGGGCUCAACCCUGGGAUGCCGGUGGAUACUGUCGGGCUCGAGUCCGGAAGAGGAGUGUGGAAUUCCUGGUGUAGCGGUGAAAUGCGCAGAUAUCAGGAGGAACACCAAUGGCGAAGGCAGCACUCUGGGACGUGACUGACGCUGAGACGCGAAAGCGUGGGGAGCAAACAGG
rnacentral:rRNA from 1 species